rnacentral:tRNA from 2 species
CAGGAAGUAGUUUAAUAAGAAUAUCAGCUUUGGGUGCUGGGGGUGGGACAGAGUGUCUUCUUCCUGA